GAGAGUUGAUCCUGGCUUAGGAUGAACGCUAGCGACAGGCCUAACACAUGCAAGUCGAGGGGCAGCGGGGGAGCAAUCCUGCCGGCGACCGGCGCACGGGUGAGUAACGCGUAUGUAACCUGCCCAUGAGUGGGGGAUAGCCCAGCGAAAGCUGGAUUAAUACCGCAUGAAACCGUUUGAAGACAUCUGAUAAUGGUUAAAGAUUUAUUGCUCAUGGAUGGACAUGCGUCCGAUUAGCUAGUGGCGGGGCAACGGCCCACCAAGGCGACGAUCGGUAGGGGUUCUGAGAGGAAGGUCCCCACAUUGGUACUGAGACACGGACCAAACUCCUACGGGAGGCAGCAGUGAGGAAUAUUGGUCAAUGGGCGGAAGCCUGAACCAGCCAAGUCGCGUGAAGGAUGAAAGGUAUUAUGUAUUGUAAACUUCUUUAGCAGUGGAGUAAUAAGGUGGUCGUGACCACCGAUGCAAGUACACUGAGAAUAAGGAUCGGCUAACUCCGUGCCAGCAGCCGC
rnacentral:rRNA from 1 species